CUAUUGAGCACUGAUAGGAAGCCAUAUAUGGACUUUCCUUUGGUUGAGUUCUUCUCCAGUGAAAGUACCACCCACUUCUAUUGAGAAAUUGAUCACCUGCAUCAGGACCACAGGACUGUAACAAAGCAGCAGAACCUGACAAUCUCACAAAUUCAAGUUGU